rnacentral:rRNA from 1 species
UACAGAGGGGGCAAGCGUUAUUCGGAAUUAUUGGGCGUAAAGGGCGCGUAGGCGGCCGGACAAGUGGAAGGUGAAAUCCCCGAGCUCAACUCGGGAACUGCCCUCCAAACUGUUUGGCUUGAGUCCGGGAGAGGUGAGUGGAAUUCCCAGUGUAGCGGUGAAAUGCGUAGAGAUCAGGAAGAACACCGGUGGCGAAAGCGUUCUGCUGGGCUGCGACUGACACUGAGGGACGAAAGCUAGGGGAGCGAAUGGG